AUAUCUCUGCACUCAGGGAUUUCAUACUAUACUAUGUCAGGAUUAUAGUAAUUAAUAACGUGUAAAAUAAUAAUGACUUAGCUAUAAGAAAGAUAUCUUAAAUGACAGAACAAUAAUGUACUCAAUAGCAACUAAGAGAGAUUGUGAACUCACUUCUUUCUAUGUAUUCUUAAAAAUAAGGUAAAUAAAUAUUCAUGCUGAUUAAUCUCAUGACUAAAAAUGGAGAAUUAUGUGCUACUUAUGGAUAAGCAGAAUAUAUAUGUUAUCAUUUGACAUGGAGUCCUAUUAAAGGGAUUAAUCCAUAAUUCUCCAUAUUCUACCUCUGUUUACAAUUUCAGACAAAGAUGCUUUGCUUGCUUUUUAAAUUCAUGUUACCAAACAUCGAGCCAUUAGAUAAUUAAUGAAAACCUGCUGUGUGGCGGGGUCUGAGCUAGGAUCUGGAGUUGUGAAGGUGUACUUGGAGAGCUUGACAGUCGAAUACAGAACCGAAAUAUAAUGUGAAAUACUCUAUAAUUAAGAAAUCUGCAAUGAGAGAUUCAUUCAGCAAAUAUUUAUUGACCUUCUACCAUGAGCCAGUUAUUAUUCUAGAGAGAGAUAAAUCACUAGAAGUACAUUACAAACAAACCAGCAAACAUCCCUGCUUUAUGGAAUUCAAUUUACAGUGUCAUUGCAAUUUCAAUGAAAAGACAAUUCAUUCCUAUUAUUGCAAAAUGUCAACACAAACAACAGAAAGUGGAAUAAUUAGGGUGGGACUUAAAAAAUUAAUUGGAAUUUGCUGGGUCAGCAAGGAGGUGCUAGACAUUGCUGGUGAAAGUGGCAGCCUUCUCAAAGGCGUUGAAGUAGACGGAGGUGCCGCAGUAUCUGUUUACUCACAAUACCCCUUUUUACUUAGAUGGUAAGAAAUUAAGAAAAUCUAAAUCCUGUUAGAUAGUAGAAAAUCCCAGGACAUCUCUAGUAUGCAUCUUGUAAAUUUUUAACCAUUUAAAGAUGUUAGUUUUUCUGUUAAUAAUUGAAAAAGUAUAGACCUGAUUAUAUUAAGAAUGCUUUGAAAAUGAGAAUGAAUUACCUUUGGACUUAUUCAUGAAGUGUCAAGAAUGUCAGUUGAAGCAUGGUGGUUUACAGAUAUAAAGUUGCACCAAGCACUGCUUCUCUUGAAAUCAAAUUAUGUACCGGAAUCAACAGAAAUCUGCAUGUUAAAGAAAUGAUUUUUUUCUUUGAAUAUAGAAACUUAUUAAGGAAAAAAUUCAAAUGUAAAAACUUAUUCAGGAAAUGUAUAAUAAGGGUGACAAAUACAGUACACUUUGGCACAUCAUUUUGCCUACAGAUAAAGUCAAAUAUUUUAAAUAAAAAUAUUUUUUAAAUGAAACAUAUAUGUUGUAAAUGUACAGCCAUUUCAUGAAUCACAAUGUCGGAAUGCAUUGUGAUAAAAAUUAAUCUACUCAUCUGCCAGCAGUGAAGGAAUUAACAGAUAUUUCACUAUGCCAUACCAAACAUGUUUUAGAUUAUAUUCCUUUAUCACAAAAAGGUACCAGAGAAAGGUCAGAAACUAUUCAGAGACAUUUAUUUAAUGCUUUAGAAAACUCAAGGACUCGAAUGCAAAUAUGUAAAAUGUAUCAACUUUUAAUAAAUAUACUAUGGUAGAAAAAUAUAUUCUUAAAAGCUGAUCUUUAAUAAAGGUUUCUGGUACCUUUCAACCCUAGGUCAUGGCCCACUAUCCUGAAAAGAUGCUGUCGUUUUACUCUAACUGGUUUAAAAAGUGCUUUCACAUUGAAUAAAUAUAAUAAAAUGCAUUUAUACAAAAAAUCGGAUAGUGGCUUACUAUAUUCCUCCAACUGAUGACAUUUUUCAGACAUUUCCAAAUUUACAUGCUAAAGUAUUUCUGUUAAUAAUGUGUGAUGUAAAGUAAAAUCAUCAUAACCCAUUUCAAGCUAUGUCAUAAUUGAAGGGCAGGGAGGAGGUAAGGGGACAUCAUUGGUUGCACUGUUUUAUUUCUAAAAUUCUUAAAGUAACUCUACAUGCAGUUGCUACAAACAGAGAAAACCAAGAAAAGAAACUGUCCAUAUCAUUAGCCCUACAUCAAUUCACUUCUAAGAAGAGGAGAAGAUGCAGAGAGACACAGAGAAGAAGGCAACAUGAAGAUGGAGGCAGAGACUGGAGGGAUGCAUCUAUAAACCAAGGAACACCAAGGAUGGCCAGCAACCAAGCUAGGAUAAAAGCAUGGAACAGUUUUUCACUUAGAUCCUCCAGAAGGGACCAAUCAUGCCCACAUAUUUUUUUUUCAGACUACUGGCCUCAGAAACUGUGAGAUGAUAAAUUUUCGUUGUUCUAAACUA